UACGGAAGGCAGCAGUGGGGAAUAUUGCACAAUGGGCGAAAGCCUGAUGCAGCUAUGCCGCGUGUAUGAAGAAGGCCUUAGGGUUGUAAAGUACUUUCAUCGGGGAGGAAAAAACAAAACUAAUAAUUUUAUUUCUUGACGUUACCCGAAAAAGAAGCACCGGCUAACUCCGUGCCAGCAGCCGCGGUAAUACGGAGGGUGCUAGCGUUAAUCAGAAUUACUGGGCGUAAAAGAGCACGUAGGUGGUUUUUUUAAAGUCAGAUGUGAAAAUCCCUGGGCUUAACCUAGGAACUGCAUUUUGAAACUGAAAUACUAGAGUAUCGUAGAGGGAGGUAGAAUUCUAGGUGUAGCGGUGAAAUGCGUAGAUAUCUGGAGGAAUACCUGUGGCGAAAGCGGCCUCCUAAACGAAUACUGACACUGAGGGUGCGAAAGCGUGGGGAGCAAAACAGGGAUUAGAUACC
rnacentral:rRNA from 1 species